GCCUACGAGAGCCGGAGCUCGGGCCGGGAUGUUCACAACCCUUUGUUGUCCGACUCUGUUGCCUCCGGGGCGACCCUGCCUCCGGGCGGGGGCCCCGGGUGGACAUUUCAAACUCUUGCGUAACUUUGCAGUCUGAGUAAAUUUAAUUAAUAAAUUAAAACUUUCAACAACGGAUCUCUUGGUUCUGGCAUCGAUGAAGAACGCAGCGAAAUGCGAUAAGUAAUGUGAAUUGCAGAAUUCAGUGAAUCAUCGAAUCUUUGAACGCACAUUGCGCCCCCUGGUAUUCCGGGGGGCAUGCCUGUUCGAGCGUCAUUUCACCACUCAAGCCUCGCUUGGUAUUGGGCGACGCGGUCCGCCGCGCGCCUCAAAUCGACCGGCUGGGUCUUUCGUCCCCUCAGCGUUGUGGAAACUAUUCGCUAAAGGGUGCCGCGGGAGGCCACGCCGUAAAACAACCCCAUUUCUAAGGUUGACCUCGGAUCAGGUAGGGAUACCCGCUGAACUUAAGCAUAUCAAAAGGCGGAGGAAUCC
rnacentral:rRNA from 1 species